ACUAACUAGGAUUCCCCCAGUAGCGGCGAGCGAACAGGGAAGAGCCCAGCACCGAAUCCCGCGGCCGACACCGGACGCCGGGAAAUGUGGUGUUUGGGAGGGUCCGCCAUCCCGAGGUCGUGCGGUGCGUCCAAGUCCUUCUUGAACGGGGCCACUUACCCAUAGAGGGUGCCAGGCCCGUAGCGACUGCCGCCGAUCGCGGGAGGACCUCUCCUCAGAGUCGGGUUGCUUGAGAGUGCAGCCCAAAGUGGGUGGUAAACUCCAUCUAAGGCUAAAUAUAACCACGAGACCGAUAGCGAACAAGUACCGUGAGGGAAAGUUGAAAAGAACUUUGAAGAGAGAGUUCAAUAGUACGUGAAACCGUUCAGGGGUAAACCUGAGAAACCCGAAAGUUCGAAUGGGUAGAUUCAGCGCGUCUCCCGCCGGACGCUCGGUAACCGUUGUGACGUCGACCUACGGGUCGGCGCGCCGGUCCGACGAUACCGGUGUUGGAACGCGUGCACUUCUACCCUAGUAGGACGUCGCGACCCGUUGGGUGUCGGCCUGAGGCUCGUGGUGGAGCCCGUGCGGCAUACUCUGCCGUGCGGACCCGCGACGCCCGACCGACAGGCCCGACGGUACGACAAUGGCGCGGGGCCGCGACUUGUUCGCGUCCGACCCGUCGCAAGCGCGGACGGUUCACCCGACUGCCGGACCUAGUGCCGACACCGGGCCCGUCCGGCUGCUAGCGGCGGUGCUCUCGGACAGACUCCGAUACACGCCGGUCGGCGACGCUAUAGCUUUGGGUACUUUCAGGACCCGUCUUGAAACACGGACCAAGGAGUCUAGCAUGUGCGCGAGUCAUUGGGAUUAGCAAAACCUAAAGGCGAAAUGAAAGUGAAGGCAUGCCUUGCGCAGGCCGAGGGAGGAUGGGUCUUGCUACGGCACGGACCCCGCACUCCCGGGGCGUCUCGUUCUCAUUGCGAGUUGAGGCGCACCUAGAGCGUACACGCUGGGACCCGAAAGAUGGUGAACUAUGCCUGGUCAGGACGAAGUCAGGGGAAACCCUGAUGGAGGUCCGUAGCGAUUCUGACGUGCAAAUCGAUCGUCGGAACUGGGUAUAGGGGCGAAAGACUAAUCGAACCAUCUAGUAGCUGGUUCCCUCCGAAGUUUCCCUCAGGAUAGCUGGCGCUCGUGCGAGCGAGUUUCAUCCGGUAAAGCGAAUGAUUAGAGGCAUUGGGGUCGAAACGGCCUCAACCUAUUCUCAAACUUUAAAUGGGUGAGAUCUCCGGCUUGCUUAACUGUGAAGCCGCGAGACUUGAUCGAAUCAGAG
rnacentral:rRNA from 1 species